CAAGUCGCACGAGAAAGGGGAGCAAUCCCUGAGUACAGUGGCGUACGGGUGAGUAACACGUGGAUGAUCUACCUUCUAGUGGGGAAUAACCCAGGGAAACCGGGGCUAAUACCGCAUGAGCUCGAGAGAGGAAAGCAGCAAUGCGCUGGAAGAGGAGUCCGCGGCCGAUUAGCUAGUUGGCAGGGUAAAAGCCUACCAAGGCAGAGAUCGGUAGCCGGCCUGAGAGGGCACACGGCCACACUGGCACUGAAACACGGGCCAGACUCCUACGGGAGGCAGCAGUGGGGAAUCUUGCACAAUGGGGGAAACCCUGAUGCAGCGACGCCGCGUGAGCGAUGAAGCCCUUCGGGGUGUAAAGCUCUUUCGGCAGGGAAGAUAAUGACGGUACCUGCAGAAGCAGCUGCGGCUAACUACGUGCCAGCAGCCGCGGUAAUACGUAGGCAGCGAGCGUUGUUCGGAGUUACUGGGCGUAAAGGGUGUGUAGGCGGUUGUUUAAGUUUGGUGUGAAAUCUCCCGGCUCAACUGGGAGGGUGCGCCGAAUACUGAAUGACUUGGAGUGCGGGAGAGGAAAGUGGAAUUCCUGGUGUAGCGGUGAAAUGCGUAGAUAUCAGGAGGAACACCGGUGGUGUAGACGGCUUUCUGGACCGUAACUGACGCUGAGACACGAAAGCGUGGGUAGCAAACAGGAUUAGAUACCCUGGUAGUCCACGCCCUAAACGAUGCAUAUUUGGUGUGGGCAGUUCAUUCUGUCCGUGCCGGAGCUAACGCGUUAAAUAUGCCGCCUGGGGAGUACAGUCGCAAGGCUGAAACUCAAAGGAAUUGACGGGGGCCCGCACAAGCGGUGGA
rnacentral:rRNA from 1 species